UUGGAGGGCAAGUCUGGUGCCAGCAGCCGCGGUAAUUCCAGCUCCAAUAGCGUAUAUUAAAGUUGUUGCAGUUAAAAAGCUCGUAGUUGAAUUUCGGGGUUAGUAGGUUGGUCAUGCCACUGGUAUGUACUGGUCUCACUGAUUCCUCCUUCCUGGUGAGCCGUAAUGCCAUUAAUUUGGUGUUGCGAGGAAUCUGGACUGUUACUUUGAAAAAAUUAGAGUGUUUAAAGCAAGCUAACGCUUGAAUACAUUAGCAUGGAAUAAUGAAAUAGGACGUUCGAUCCUAUUUUGUUGGUUUCUAGGAUUGACGUAAUGAUUAAUAGGGAUAGUUGGGGGCAUUAGUAUUCAAUUGUCAGAGGUGAAAUUCUUGGAUUUAUUGAAGACUAACUACUGCGAAAGCAUUUGCCAAGGAUGUUUUCAUUAAUCAAGAACGAAAGUUAGGGGAUCGAAGACGAUCAGAUACCGUCGUAGUCUUAACCAUAAACUAUGCCGACUAGGGAUCGGAUGAUGUUAUUUUUAAUGACCCAUUCGGCGCCUUACGGGAAACCAAAGUGUUUGGGUUC
rnacentral:rRNA from 1 species